AAAGCAGGUGGCAGUUGCUUAAAAAGUUAAACAUAAAUUCACCAUGCGAUCCAACAAUUCCACCGUAGGUAUUUACUUAAGAGAAGUGGAAACUCAGGUCUACUUAAAGACUCAGUCCUAAAUGUUCACAGCAGUGUUGGUCAUAGUCACCAACAGUGGAAAUGUUACCUGGCAGCCCAUCAGCUGGUGAGUGAAUAAAAAAGUGGCACAUCCAUAUACUGGAAUUCUAUUUGGCAAAGAAAAGGAAUGAGCUACCCAUACACACUACAGCCUUAUGUUGAGUGAAACAAGCCAGACGUAAAAGACCAUGUACAUAUAUUGUCAGAUUUCAUUUAUUUAUAUGAUAUGUCCAGAAUAGGCAAAGUUAUAGAGUCAGAAAGUAGACUCGUGGUUGUCUGGGGGAUGGAGGUAGAAAUGAAGAUUAAGUUGUUUUUUUUUUUUUUUUUUUUUUUUUGAGACAGGGUCUUGUUGUCGCCCAGGCUGGAGUGCAAUGGUGCAAUCUUGGCUCACUGCAAACUCUGCCUCCCGGGUUCAAGAAAUUCUCAUGCCUCAGCUUCCUAAGUAGCUAGGAUUACAGGUGCCCGCCACCACGCCUGGCUAAUUUUUGUAUGUUUAGUAGAGAUGAGGUUUCGCCAUGUUGGCCAGGCUGGUCUCGAACUACUGACCUCAGGUGAUCCGUCCACCCCAGCCUCCCAAAAUGCUGAGAUUAUAGGCGUGAGCCACCCCGCCUGGCCCAAGAUUAAGUUUAAAUGAACAUGAAGUAAAAUCCUUUACUAGGGUCAUGAAAAUGUUCUAAAACUAGCUGAUGGUAAUGGACUCACACCUCAGUAAAUUUACUAAAAAUCAUUGAAUUGUACACUUAACAUUGGUGAAUUUGAUGAUAUGUACAUAAUAUCUCAAUUAAGCUGUUAAAAGUGCAGCAGUAGGCUGGGUACGGUGGCUCAGGUCCGUAAUUUUAGCACUUUGGCAGGCUGAGGUGGGAGGAUUGCUUGAGCACAGGUUGUUUGAGACUAGCCUGGGCAACAUGAGGAGACCCUAUGUCCACAGGGGAAAAAAAAAAAAAAAAGAGAGAAAGAAAAAAGAAAUUAGCUGGGUUUAGUGGCAUGUGCCUCUGGUCCCAGCUACUUGGGAAGCUGAAAUGGAAGAAUCGCUUGAGCCCAGGAAUUCAAGGCUGCAGUGAGCCAUGACUGUGUCACUGCACUCCAUCCUGAGCAACAGAGUGAGACUGUGUCUAAAAAAAAAAAAAAAAAAAAAAAACAACACGCAGUUGUGAACAAAAAGUUUUUGCUGUCAUGCUGUUUACAUUACAUUUGGUGGUGAGGGCUUGGGGGAUGGAGUAGGGGAAGGAUCAUGAAGACGUGGAUACUGAAGAGGCAAAGAGCCACUGGAGGGAACAUUGGGGCAGGGGAGUCACGGGUGCACAGACUUGGCCUGCUGGGGGAGCUGAUAGGAGGUUUGGGUCUCACAGGAGUGAGAGGCGCCUGGGGUGGAUCACACUGAGUCUCCUGGGCCCCAGGGAGGCACUGGAUUUGCCCUAAGUGGGGGGAGGCAGGAGGAACUGGGAGAAGCAGCCCAGUACCCAGCAGGGGCUAUGGAGCAGGAGUCAAAGAGAGUGGGCCCUGGCACCCUGUGAUGCGGGAGGAGGCACUGGGGCUCCCUGGGGUGGAGUUUGGGUUUUUACUGAAAUUCCCUGGUGUUGUCACUGCACAAGUGCCGGGCUUGUUUCUGGCUUCCAAAAGAAGUUACUUAAUUUCUCUGGCCUGUUUCCAUAUUGAUAAAACAGACAUAGAACUUUCUUUGGAAGGCUAGUAGAGGCAUUCAUUCAUUCAUUGAGCGAACAUUUACUGAGCACCUACUGCGUGCCACUCUGUCUUCUGGGCGCUGGGGAUAUAUCAUCAAUUACAAGAAAAAUCCUUGCAUGCGUAGACAUUUCAGCCUGAACAGAGCUCAUUUGUAGAAAUUGGUGCGUGCACCCCAGCUGGUGGCUGCCAUUUGUUGUGCUCCAAUACAUCAUCAUGUGCAUGGCAUUGCUGUAAUUUAGAGCAGGUGCCCAGGUGUCUGUCUCCUUCACAGCCACAGCCACUCCCUUCUGACCUCCCUCUCAUGGAUGUGGGAUGCUAUCCUUUGCGAAAUGGACCACAAAUACAGGGUUAACCCCCACACCCCCAGGUUUCCCAAAUGUCCCCUGGCUCUUGGGGGUUCUGCUUGGAAGGAUCACAUCCUGCUUUUACCCCUUCCUUGCUGUAGGGCCUUAGGCAAGUUUCUUCAUCCCAUUCCAGGAUCGUAGCUACCUGGUGCAGCACCUUUGUGCAAAUUAGGUGCUCCCUUUCCAGAGGAGCCCAUCCCGCACCAAGUGCUGCCUAAGGAGUGGCUGGUGUAUUUCUUCAAAUUAGAACACAAUACUCCUUCCCUUGAUGCAAGCAAGGCAGGCAUGUGGCUUGUUGAGCAAAGCACAGGCUAGAAUUUAGUCAGUGUUUGCUCCUCUGCCCAGUACCUUCGUGUAGUGAACACCCGCUCAUCCGUACGGCAGUGGCAAGGCUAAACCACAGCGUUGUGUGAAGCUGAAGUGAGACAACACUCACUGUAGACACUCAGCGUGACACCCAUCACGUAUUACAGACUAUAUAGUUGACCUUUGAAUAGCACAGGUUUGAACUGUGCAGGUCCACUUACUUGUGGAUUUUUUUCAAUAAAUACAUUGGAAACAUUUUCAGAGAUUUGCAACAAUUUGAAAAAACUUACAGAGGAACUACAAGCCUAGAAAUAUAUUUUUAAAAUUAAGCAAAAGUUAAGUAUGCCACGAAUACAAAAAAUAUAUGUAGGUACUAGUCUAUUUACUGCCACUAGUCUAUUUACUGCCAUACAUACUAGUCUAUGUAUGCCAAAAUGGAUACAAAGCUUUUUUUUUUUUUUUUUUUGAGACAGGAUCUGGCUCUAUUACCCAGGCUGGAGUGCAAUGACAUGAUCUCGGCUCACUGCAACCUCUGCGUCCCAGGCUGAAACCAUCCUUCCACCUCAGCCUCCCAAGUACCUGGGACUACAGGCACACGCCACCAUGCCCAGCUAAAUUUUUUGUAUUUUUGGUAAAGACAGGGUUUCUCCAUGUUGCCCAGGCUGGGCAAAUCUCUUAUAGAAAGUUAAAAUUGGCAGGGUACCGUGGUUCACGCCUGUAAUCCCAGCACUUUGGGAGGCCGAAGCGGGUGGGUCAACUGAGGUCAGGGGUUCGAGACAGGCCUGGCCAACAUGGUGAAACCCCAUCUCUACUUACAAUACAAAAAAUUAGCCAGGUGUGGUGGUAGGUGCCUGUAAUCCCAGCCACUUGGGAGGCUGAGGCAGGAGAAUUGCUUGAACCUGGGAGGCGGAGGUUGCAGUGAGCCAAGAUCACACCAUUGCACUCCAGCCUGGGAGACAGAGCAAGACUCUGUCUAAAAACAAAACAAAACAAAAAAGUUAAAAUUUAUCAAAAAUAUAUGCACGCAAACACAAACUCUAUUUGAUGCCAUUUGAAGUCAAGAGAAAUGCAAGCAAACAUAAAGAUGUGCAGUAUUAAAGUCAUAAGUGCAUAUUUACUGUAGACAUACUGUACUCCUAUAAUAAUUUCGUAGCCACCUCCUGUGCUUUCUCCGUGAGCUCAACUGUUGAGUAUCUGCUUCCAACACCACGUGAAGCUAAUCACCUCCUGGUGAGCAGUUCUCGCCAGUACACUGUGUACAGAAGUAAAAAGUGAUCUUUCAUAGUCAUUGCAUAUGUUUCACCAUGUUUAAUGCAAUACCGUAAACUUUGAAUAACCCCCUUGGCCCCAAAUGCGGGGCCACUAGUGAUGCCAGAGCUGCUUCCAAGAAGCAAAGAAAAGUCAUGACAUUAUAAAAAAGGGUUGAACUGCUUGAUAUCUACCACAGAUUGAGAUCUGCAGCCGCGGUUACUGCCGCUUGAGACAGACAACUUCUCUUAUAAACAGACAACAAAACUUACAGUAUUGAUAAAUACAGCACAGUGCUGUGAAGGUAUUUUCUCUUUCUAAUAAUGUUUUCAGUAACAUGUACUUUUCUCUAGCUUACUUUAUUGUAAGAAUACAGCACAUAAUAUAUAUAACAUACAAAAUAUGUCUUUUUUCUUUUUUUUCCAGAGACAGGAUCUUGCUCUGUCACCCAGGCUGGAGUGCAGUGGUGCGAUCAUGGCAUUGCAGCCUCAAUCCUGGGCUCAAGGGAUCCUCCCACCUCAGACCCCUGAGUAGCUGGGACUACAGGCACGCACCACCACGCCCAGCUAAUUAUUUUUAUUUUUAUUAUUUGUAGAGGUGGGGGUCUCACUAUCUUGCCCAGGCUGCUCUUGAACUCCUGGCUUCGAGCAGUCUUCCCGCCUCGGCCUCCUAAAGUGCUGGGAUUACAGGCAUAAGCCACUGUGCCUGGCUUCAAAUAUGUCUUACUCAAUUGUUUAUAUACUGGGUAAAGCUUUUGGUCAACAGUAGGCUAUUAGUAGUUGAACUUUGGGGGAGUCAAAGUCAUGCACAGAUUUUCCACUGCGUGGGGUUCGGCACCCCAUCCCCACGUUGUUCAAGAGUCAACUCCGUAGCCUUUGCCCAUCACUGCGGGACCUUGCAUUUUCCCUCCCCGGCUGAAGCAUCUUUUCCUGCCAGCCUCCGUUCCAAGCUCCAAGGCUGCCCCCUUGCGAGUUUCACAUGGUAUAACAGCGUCAUUAUCCUGCCUCCUGCCUCCUCUCCUACUCGGAAAUCAAAUGUUCUCUCCUGGGAACUGAUUUCAGAGUAGCUGUCCUCAAGUGCAUCACCGGAGUGGCAGUUCCUGUGGGUCAGAAACAGACUGCCUCCUCCUUCCCGUAAGUACAAGGCCUCUGCUCGCGGCCCACGGAAGACAGGCAGAUGGAGAAGCCGAGACUCAGGCAAGCUGGCGAGCCCUGCCAAGAUCACCGGGCUAGUUAAGCCGAAGAAUCAAGAUUCAAGUUCUCAUGUUUGUCUGUCUGCAAAGCCAGUAUGCUUUUCCUAACAAGACACCAGACUCUCUAAUCUGCUGGUUUGAUCAGUAAACCACUGUGACUCCAUUUCCUUCCCCCCAGGCCCCAUGAAGACUUUCCCCUCUCCUCAUCCCCACUCUGACUCCACAGACUGAAAAGAGUUCACUGGUUCUUUGAAGUGGCAUCUGAGCCAUUUUUAUUGUGAGCUCUGUCUCCCUGGCAGGUUAAUCCACACCAGUGUGUCCAUCU
rnacentral:lncRNA from 10 species